rnacentral:rRNA from 1 species
UGGUGGAGUGAUUUGUCUGGUUAAUUCCGAUAACGAACGAGACCUUAACCUGCUAAAUAGAAGGUCGAUUUCCGAAUCGAUGCUUCUUCUUAGAGGGACUAACUACUUUUAGUGGUUGGAAGUUUGAGGCAAUAACA